rnacentral:rRNA from 1 species
CCCUUAGAUGUUCUGGGCCGCACGCGCGCUACACUGACACGUUCAUCAAGUCUAUAACCUUGACCGAGAGGUCUGGGUAAUCUUUUAAAAACGUGUCGUGCUGGGGAUAGAUUAUUGCAAUUAUUAAUCUUCAACGAGGAAUUCCUAGUAAACGCAAGUCAUCAACUUGCAUUGAUUACGUCCCUGCCCUUUGUACACACCGCCCGUCGCUACUACCGAUUGAAUGAUUUAGUGAGUACCAGGGACCGAGCGCUUUGGUUGGGUUUCCUUCCCUAGCGCUUGGGAACUGUCGCAAACUUGACCAUUGAGAGGAAGUAAAAGUCGUAACA